rnacentral:misc_RNA from 1 species
GAAAUGCGAUAAGUAGUGUGAAUUGCAGAAUUCAGUGAAUCAUCGAAUCUUUGAACGCACAUUGCGCCCUUUGGUAUUCCUUAGGGCAUGCCUGUUCGAGCGUCAUUUAAACCUUCAAGCUCAGCUUGGUGAUGGGUGACUGUCCUCCCCUCGCGGGGGGGACUCGCCUCAAAAACAUUGGCGGCCGGUACAUUGGCUUCGAGCGCAGCAGAAACGCGGUCUCGAGUCCGGUGGAUCGGCGCCCAUAAGCCUUCUUUUUUAUUUUGACCUCGGAUCAGGUAGGGAUACCCGCUGAACUUAAGC